rnacentral:rRNA from 1 species
UCUGGUUGAUCCUGCCAGUAAUAUAUGCUCGUUUCAGAGAUUAAAGCCAUGCAUGUCUAAGUACAACUAUUUUUUAAUAGGAAACUGCGAACGGCUCAUUAUAACAGAUUGAACUUACAUGGAAGAUUAUUGGAUCUUUUUUAAAGAUUUGAUAUAGGUGGAUAACCGCAGUAAUUCUGGGGCUAAUACGUGCAUGGAGUGUUUCUUUGGAAACAGCAUUUAUCAGACUAAUUGCAAAAUGAACAGAAGAUUGGAAUCGACUGAUAAAUUAUAAAAGAGGGAGAUAUAGUAAUAUAUUGAACGCUUUUGAGUAGAUCGCAGUGAGUGUUAUAGCUCGGCGACAAUCCAUAUAGCUUUCUGCCCUAUCAACUUUCGAUUGUAAGGUAUUGGCUUACAAUGGUAUUGACGGGUAACGGAGAAUUGGGGUUCGAUUCCGGAGAAGGAGCCUGAGAAACGGCUGCUACUACCAAGGUAGGCAGCAGGCGCGCAAAUUGCCCAAUCAAGAACAUUGGAGGCAGUGACAAAAUAUAUUUAUGGAUUUUAACAUUUGUUAAAUUCCAAUAAAAGUGAGGCAUGCGUAAAUAGUGUGUCGAUAGCGAGAAGAGGGCAAGUCUGGUGCCAGCAGCCGCGGUAAUUCCAGCUCUUUUAGCGUAUAUUAAUUCUGUUGCAGUUGAAAGGCUCGUAGUUGAGAGAAAGAUGGAUAGUUUAUUAUUGUGAAUGACGAGAUGUUAUUUGUGGUAGAUAGUAUUUAUUUUAAAUUAAAGUAGAUUGUUAUUAUAUAGUAGUUUACAUUAAACGAUGAAAAAAUUAGAGUGUUCAUAACAGGGAAAUAAGAGGUUUNAGGUUUUUUACCUUCCUUUUGAAUAUUGUUUCAUUGGAUUUUUGAAUAGGGCCAUUCACGCAUGGUUUUUGAUAGUUCUUUAAGCAAAGCGUUAGUAGUGGCAAUGAUAAAGAAAAGCUAUUGGUGUCCUUUGUACUUUGCAGUAAGAAGUGAAAUUUAGUGAUUUGCAGAUGACAAACAAAUGCGAAAGCAUUGGACAAGAGGGUAUUUAUUAAUCAAGAACGAAAGUAAAGUUAUCGAAGAUGAUCAGAUACCGUCGUAGUCUUUACCGUAAACGAUACCGACUUGGAAUAAGAAAGAGAUGAAAAUGGGGGUAUGAUGAUUAUGUUGUUGUAUUCCUUUAUGUCCUUUCUUGAGACAUACGAGAAAUCAAAGUGUCUAGGUUCUGGGGGGAGUAUGAUCGCAAGGUUGGAACUUAAAGGAAUUGACGGAAGAGCACCACCAGGAGUGGAGCUUGCGGCUUAAUUUGACUCAACACGGGAAAUCUUAUCAGGGCAGACAAAAGAAGGAUUGACAGAAUGAAGGCUCUUUCAAGAUUGUUUGGGUGGUGGUGCAUGGCCGUUUUUAGUUGGUGGUGUGAAUUGUCUGGUUGAUUCCGUUAACGAGCGAGACCUUAAAAUAAGAAGUUAAAAGGGAGAAAAGGGAGAGGGAAGGGGAGGAAGAGUGGAUUUAUUUAUUCUUUUUCUUUUUUC